rnacentral:tRNA from 1 species
GCCCGGGUGGUGAAAUUGGUAGACACAGGGGACUUAAAAUCCCCCGAUCAUUGCGAUCGUGUCGGUUCGAGUCCGACCCCGGGCACCA